AUGUGGCUCGCAUUUCUCGAGCCGGUGCUCGACCAAAACGUGUACUUCAUGGGCGCGAAGCUGACCUCGGCGGCGUUCGCGACGGCGCUCCUCAACACCCUCCCGGCCGUCACCUUCAUGUUGGCCCUCAUCCUGCGCAUGGAGAAGGUGCGGCUGCGGAGCCUGCACAGCCAGGCCAAGAUCGCCGGCACGGUCCUCACGGUGGCCGGUGCCGUGCUGAUGGUCCUGUACCAUGGCCCUGCCGUGCGGUUCCCGUGGACUAAGGCCCAUCACCACGCCACCAUUGGUGGCCAGGCCGCCGCCGCGCGGGACUGGCUGAUCGGGACCAUAAUGCUCAUCGCCUCCUGCAUGAUCUGGCCGGGCUUUUUCAUCCUCCAGGCCAACACGCUGGGGAGCUACCCGGCGGAGCUGUCUCUCACGGCGCUCAUCUGCGGCAUGGGCUCGCUGAUGAGCGGCGCCGUCGCCCUCGUUGCUGAGCGCGCCAACACCCAGGUCUGGGUUAUCGGCUUCGAUAACCGCCUCUUCACCGUCGUCUACGGCGGCAUAGUGUGCUCCGGCGUGGCGUACUACUUGCAGGGCGUCGUGUCAAGGCAAAGGGGCCCGGUGUUCGUGACGGCCUUCAGCCCGCUCAGCAUGGUCAUAACCGCCGUCAUGGGCUCCAUCGUUCUCAAGGAGGAGAUCACUCUCGGAAGUGUAAUUGGUGCAGUGAUCAUCGUGACAGGCCUCUACUUUAUCAUCUGGGGCAAGAGCAAGGACGAGAUCAGCUGCCCCAGUCAAGUUUCCGACGUCAGCGUCAAGGGAGCCAGUGAACUGCCCUUAACCUCGGUGACAAGCGGCCACGGCCACGGCAAGCAGUACGAGCUCGACAACGGCAACGGCGGCCAUGUCGACGUCGAGACGCCGACGACCAAUGGGCACUAG
rnacentral:rRNA from 1 species